rnacentral:lncRNA from 1 species
GGGGGGGGGGGGGGGGGGGGGGGGGGGGGGGGGGGGGGGGGGGGGGGGGGGGGGGGGGGGGGGGGGGGGGGGGGGGGGGGGGGGGGGGGGGGGGGGGGGAGGGAGUGGAUCCCCUCAUUGGGAUUGGUGGAAGGGAGUGGAUCCCUCGCUGGGAUAGGUGGGAGGGAGUGGAUUCUUACUGGGAUUGGUGGGAGGUGGCUGCUCCCAUGCUGGGAUUGACAGGGCAAUGGAUCUCCUCAUUGGGGUUGGUGGGAGGCAGUGGAUCCCUUGCUGGGAUUGACAGGGCAAUGGAUCUCCUCACUGGGAUUGGUGGGAGGGAGUGGAUCCCUUGCUGGGAUUGACAGGGCAAUGGAUCUCCUCACUGGGAUUGGUGGGAGGUGGUGGAUCCCUUGCUGGGGUGGGCGGGGCAGUGGAUCCCCUCAUUGGGGUUGGUGGGGCAGCGGGUCCUCCUUGCUGUGAUUGGUCAGAGGCAGCUGCAUCCCGCCAGGACUGGGGAGGCAGUCUCUGCUGGGAUUGGUGGGAGCUGUGUCCUCUCUGCUGGGAUUGGUGCGAAGGGCGGUGGUGGGCAGGGCCAUGGCACUAAUUAACCCCGCGCUAACGAGAGCCCCUCAUUUCCCCGCCCCGCAGGGUGUCCCCGCAGCCUCCCCACGUCCCCCGCAGCGCGCCUGCUGCCCAGCACCGCCCGCUCCUCCGACUGCCUGCACCGCGCACCCGGCAGCCGCAUCCUGCUGCUGCUCUGCAACACGGCGGGCACGGGGCCGCAGCUCACCAGGUACCUGUCACCUGCCUGUCACCUGUCACUGCCUGCCCUGCCCUGCCCUGCCCGUGUGACAGCCAGCCCCGUGUCCCUGCUGCCUGCCCCCAGGUUCGGGCCGCCGCUGGUGCUGCGGGAGGAGCGCAGCGUCUCCUGGGAGCAGCUCCAGCAGAACAUCCUGGCCCAGCUGAGGGGGGUCCUGCGGGGAGAGGUCCGGCCUCAGGGCACGGGAGUCCUUUUCCGGAUCCGCCUGGCAGGGGGCCCGGCCCCCUGUACCUACCUGUCCCCUCAGGAUCCUCGUCCCCUCUGCCACCCUGCCGUCGACAGGUAAGGGGCUGCAGGGACAGGACUGUCCCCAGGAUGUCCCCUCAACCCCUGGGGGUGGACAGUGG